rnacentral:lncRNA from 1 species
CCACCUGCUGCUCAUUUAACAGCCUUGCUGGGGCCUUCCACCAUGUAAGGAAGUGUUGGUGAGAGUUAUACAUGGCUCCUUUCUCCCUGGGUCAAACUGACCCCCACACCCAGUGAGGAGGAUGCUGCAGCCACUGCAGACUCAGCUGCUCCUAGGGACAGUGACCUGCAGAUGUAGAUUCUAGUGUGGACCUCCUGGAUGAAGGCUCUGAGGCUCAGCAAGCAAGAUGAGGAUGUGAAGGACACGGAGUCCAAUUGUCAUCGGCUCCCAGGCUUGUUGCGAGGAUCCACUGGAGUUAGAAUCCUGACAUUAGGCCUCUGGAGAGGUUUGCCAAUAUGAAUGUGCCGUCUCAGAUGAGUCUGCAUUUGAUUCCUCAGUAGGGCAGAUUCAAUCUGAAGAUCUAUGAGGGCCAGACAGUUCAGAUGAGGCUCUAAUGGAUUAUUUCAAUGAAAUGUUCAUCAUGAAGAACUGGAAAUAAUAAAUCCAAAUUUCUUCAUUUAUGGCA